UACGGAGGGUGCAAGCGUUGUCCGGAUUUAUUGGGUUUAAAGGUUGCGUAGGCGGGGUUUUAAGUCAGUGGUGAAAGCCGUCAGCUCAACUGUCGAACCGCCAUUGCUACUGGUAAUCUUGAGUAUAGUUGAGGCAGGCGGAAUUUACGAUGUAGCGGUGAAAUGCAUAGAUAUCGUAAAGAACACCUAUAGCGAAGCCAGCUUGCUAAACUAUAACUGACGCUGAGGCACGAAAGCAUGGGUAGCGUACAGG
rnacentral:misc_RNA from 1 species